CACUUUGAAAAGAGGGUGAAAAGAGCCUGAAACCGUCACGGGGGAAGCGGAUCGCGUUGGAUUGAUGGGCGCUUGCGUGUUCAGCCCUUUGGGUGCAUUGGCGCAAGUUGCUUAUCCGCUGUGAGUUUUCGGGGGUCGAUUUUGGACCCCUGGGGACUGAGGGCUCCCUUUUACAGGUGAGGACAGCGGAGUGACGACGCGAUACGACCCGUCUUGAAACACGGACCAAGGAGUCUAGCGCGGGUGCGAGUCGGAGGGUGCAAGCCCGUGGGCGAAGUGAAAGCGAGUGUAAAAACGAGCAGUUUGGGGCGGCAUAAGAUCGUUGAUCUUAAGACCGACCCAGAGCAGUUGCGCUGGGACCCGAAAGAUGGUGAACUAUGCCGGAGUAGGGCAAAGCCAGAGGAAACUCUGGUGGAGGCUCGUAGCGGUGCUGACGUGCAAAUCGCUCGUCGAACUUGGGUAUAGGGGCGAAAGACUAAUCGAACCAUCUAGUAGCUGGUUCCCUCCGAAGUUUCUCUCAGGAUAGCGGGCCGACAAGUUGUUUUGUGCGGUAAAGCGAAUGAUUAGCGCAUUUCGGGGGCGUUUAGCCUUUGGGCGAUUCUCAAACUUUCAAUGCGCAAGGGUGCCGCUGCUUAAUUGAGCGGUACCGGUAAAAACGUCGGCCCUGUGGGCCACUUUUGGUAAGC
rnacentral:rRNA from 1 species